rnacentral:lncRNA from 1 species
CAAAAUAAUAAAUAGAUUUAUAUAUAAUUAAGUGGAUAUUUUAGUUUAAGUUUUAUCAAGUAUAUUUGUUUUUAAUUAAAUUACUAAGCCUUUUCUUUUAAAAUUCAAAAUAAUAAGAGAAGUAGUAAUAAUUAAGUAUUUAAUUGUCAGCAGGACAACACCGGGCGGUUCCUAUCACGUACGUAUCAUCUCUUUCAUAAACAACAACACCCUUCUCUUCAUAAAAGACCAAAGAACCAUUAACACAUAAAAAAACACUUCCAACACCAUCUCAUAAAACUUCCUCACUCUCCCAUUUUUACUGAACAAAAAGAAACAACAUUAAGGCAUUUCACUCUUCAUCAACUCAACACAACCCAUAAACCGCACCUAACUCCGGCCAACCACCGACAACCGCCGUCGAAGGUUGUUUUUAUACUGUUCUGCUGUCGGCGGAUUGUUAUUAUUGUGUUGUUUUUGUUGUUUAUUUGUUGAUUUUUUUUAGACAUAAUUGAAUAAGAGAGGGAGAAUCUUAUUUUGUUUUAAAAGAAAAAAAAAUUGUUGUUUGAUAUUGUUACUGUAUUUACAUGUGAAAGAGAUGAAGAAGAAUAUAUGUUGAUUGUUUUGACUUUUUCCACCAUGCCACAUGUCUCAUUCUGGUUGGAUGAGUUUG